GGGGAGGGGACAGUGGCGCACGGGUGAGUAACACGUGGGUAAUUUACCUUUGGGUGGGGAACAACAGCCGGAAACGGCUGCUAAUACCGCAUAAUGCAGCGGCUCGACAUCGAGACAGUUGUUAAAGCGGGGGAUCGCAAGACCUCGUGCCUAAAGAGAAGCCCGCGGCAGAUUAGCUAGUUGGUAGGGUAAUGGCCUACCAAGGCGACGAUCUGUAACCGGCCUGAGAGGGCGGUCGGUCACACUGACACUGACAUACGGGUCAGACCCCUACGGGAGGCAGCAGUCGGGAAUUUUGGGCAAUGGGCGAGAGCCUGACCCAGCAACGCCGCGUGAAGGAUGAAGCUUUUCGGAGUGUAAACUUCACAAGAAUGGGAAGAAUAAGUGUGGGAUAAUACCCUUCACGAUGACGGUACCAUUUGUAAGCUCCGGCUAACUCCGUGCCAGCAGCCGCGGUAAUACGGGGGGAGCAAGCGUUGUUCGGAUUUACUGGGCGUAAAGGGCGCGUAGGCGGCGCGACAAGUCACUUGUGAAAUCUCUGGGCUCAACCCAGAACGGUCAAGUGAUACUGUCGUGCUAGAGUGCGGAAGGGGCAACUGGAAUUCUUGGGUGUAGCGGUGAAAUGCGUAGAUAUCAAGAGGAACACCUGCGGCGAAAGCGGGUUGCUGGGCCGACACUGACGCUGAGCGCGAAAGCUAGGGAGCGACGGGAUAGAUACCCCGGUAGUCUAGCUUAAACGAUGAAUGCUGGUGUC
rnacentral:rRNA from 1 species